rnacentral:rRNA from 1 species
UACGGGGGGAGCAAGCGUUGUUCGGAUUUACUGGGCGUAAAGGGCGCGUAGGCGGCCUCUGCAAGUCGACUGUGAAAUCUCCGGGCUUAACCCGGAAAGGUCAGCCGAUACUGCAGGGCUAGAGUGCAGAAGGGGCAACUGGAAUUCUCGGUGUAGCGGUGAAAUGCGUAGAUAUCGAGAGGAACCCCUGCGGCGAAGGCGGGUUGCUGGGCUGACACUGACGCUGACAGCGCGAAAGCUAGGGGAGCGAACGGG